AACGAACGCUGGCGGCAUGCCUAACACAUGCAAGUCGAACGAGGACUUCGGGUCUAGUGGGGCACGGGUGCGUAAAGGGUGAGAAGGUGCCUUUCAGUUGGGAAUAAUUCCCCGAACGGGGUGCUAACACCGGGUAAUGUUGUCGGAUCAACGAUUUACCGCCUUUGGCUGGGCCUGCGUUGGGUUAGCGAGUUGGUAGGGUAGAGGCCUACCAAGGCGCCGAUCCAGAGCUGGUCUGAGAGGAGGAUCAGCCACACUGGGACUGAGACACGGCCCAGACGCCUACGGGAGGCUGCAGUGGGGAAUAUUGGACAAUGGGCGAAAGCCUGAUCCAGCAAUGCCGCGUGAGUGAUGAAGGCGUUAGGGUUGUAAAGCUCUUUUAUCCGUGAGGAUAAUGACAGUACCGGGAGAAUAAGCUCCGGCUAACUCCGUG
rnacentral:rRNA from 1 species